rnacentral:rRNA from 1 species
CAGUCGCCACGGUAAUACGAAGGGUGCAAGCGUUACUCGGAAUUACUGGGCGUAAAGCGUGCGUAGGUGGUGGUUUAAGUCCGUUGUGAAAGCCCUGGGCUCAACCUGGGAAUUGCAGUGGAUACUGGGUCACUAGAGUGUGGUAGAGGAUAGUGGAAUUUCCGGUGUAGCAGUGAAAUGCGUAGAGAUCGGAAGGAACAUCUGUGGCGGAGGCGACUAUCUGGGCCAACACUGACACUGAGGCACGAAAGCGUGGGGAGCAAACAGGAUUAGAUACCCCCGUAGUCCCUGUCUCUUAUAC